GAUCAUGGCUCAGGAUGAACGCUGGCGGCGUGCUUAACACAUGCAAGUCGAACGGAGUUAUUGAGAAGCUUGCUUUUGGUAAACUUAGUGGCGGACGGGUGAGUAACGCGUGGGUAACCUGCCUUAUACCGGGGGAUAACGUUUGGAAACGAACGCUAAUACCGCAUAAGCGCACGGGCUCGCAUGAGUCUGUGUGAAAAACUCCGGUGGUAUAAGAUGGACCCGCGUCUGAUUAGAUAGUUGGUGAGGUAACGGCCCACCAAGUCGACGAUCAGUAGCCGGCCUGAGAGGGUGAACGGCCACAUUGGGACUGAGACACGGCCCAAACUCCUACGGGAGGCAGCAGUGGGGAAUAUUGCACAAUGGGGGAAACCCUGAUGCAGCGACGCCGCGUGAGUGAAGAAGUAUUUCGGUAUGUAAAGCUCUAUCAGCAGGGAAGAAAAUGACGGUACCUGAGUAAGAAGCCCCGGCUAACUACGUGCCAGCCGCCGC
rnacentral:rRNA from 1 species